AUCCAGAGUGUUCUACAUCAGUUUAAUUUGAAACCGAUGUAAUGUUCCAUGUACUUCAUAUUCAUGUAAAACACCUCUACUUCUUCGUUCGCCCAAACCUUCUCUGAUCUCAUAUCAUUUUCCACAAGCCUUUCAAUAAGGAGCAAGAGGAGGUCUUGUGUCGCCCUCAUCGACAAGCUCGAAAAACUCCACCAAUCUCUUGCCACUACUUUGGUGGAAAAGAUUGAAGCCUCAAGGAAGGCUCACUACCACGAUGCAAAAACCCUAACUAAGAGCCCCAAAUCGAGAAAGCCAUUGCGCUCAAACGACAUAGUGACAACCGACAAUUAUAGCUACAAAACCCUAGAAUAGAGAAGCCAAAGCAGGUGGAGCAUCUCGUCAAUGCAUUCUUAGGCCUUGCCAAGUCCUCUUUUGUCUCCCUAGAUUUGAAGGCAUUCUCCGUCGUGCUUGCCCUCUCCUUCCUCCUCCUCUUGACACUACUUCCUGUCGCAACAAACUUCUCAGAGUUGAUUUCGUGCAAGGAGUCAAAGCAAAACAAGUGUGAGUUGGGUGUUGAGAAAAAGGAUGGUACAUAAUCAAGGUUAUAUACCAUGAGAUGUGAGGAUCGUGAUGACUCCUAUCUUGGGAUUCCUGCACGGGUUGUUCAAUAUGAAGUUAAUGUCUAUGUUCCCAAAGAUAGAGUCACCAACCACCAUCAGGGUUAUGGAUUUAUUGAGUUCCAGAGUGAAGAAAAUGCUAACUAUGCCAUCAAGGUGCUUAACAUGAUUAAGUUUUGUGGUAAACCGAUCCGUGUCAACAAGGACUGCUGAUCAUACUAAAUGGGUUGGUUCUUUUUACACAAAGCAAGACUUCAUAGAUGUUGUAGAGGUAUCUAUUUUGGUUUGUUUGACUAAUAAUAUUAUUCAUGUAGAUCUUUGAUCCAAUUGGUAUGAUCGUAAAUUACUUCUAACUACUAAUUAUUAUUAUUUAGCACUAAAUUUAUUCUUCAAGCAGUAACUAAGCCUAUGAAGUAAAAGCAUAAAGCUAUGCUUUUAGUCUUGUAGAUACUAAAAUUAGCUAUAAGAAGAUAUAAAGUGAACUUACUAAUUUUUCCCUACUUUUUUUGUCAACAUUUGCUUCUUUUUUCUCUGAUUUUUGUUUCAUAAAUAUUUUUUUAUCUAAACAUCAUAGUAUCAUCAAGAUGCCUUUUGAAUAUUCAAUCAGAAAAAUCUUUGUUUGAUUGCUAGUUUUAAUUUGUCAAGAGGACAUAGCAGACCCUUUUGGUUGGUGGAUAAAAUCAAGAAUGCUUAAAAAUGACUUACUGGCUUGUGGGAGUACUGCUAUUUGCUAGCAUGUUUUCCCUUUUUAUUAAUUGUAUUUAUUUCUACUGGCUUCACAAUUUGUAAACUGAUUUCAAUAUUCAAGUAUUUGAUUUUUUUUGUUCUUUCCUUUUCUUUUCUCAUUUGCCUUGAUAAUUGGAUAGGGGAUGGGGUGAAUAAUUGAAUAUCUGGAGUUUAUUUAUUUAGUGUUAGGUUAGCUUUUACAUAACUUUACCUUAUUUUAGUGUUGUAUUGUAAUAACUGCAAGGGGAACUCCGGAAAGAUAUUUUGUUAUAAUUGCUGUUAUAGAUCAAUUUUCUAUUCCUUUUCAUUCUAAAUCCUUCAAUAUAUAGGAGUCCUGUUGCCAUGGAGCAGAGCCAUCCGUGUGUUUCAUUUCUAAUUUCCAAUGAAAAUGAAUAAUAAAAGUUAAUACAGAAAAAAAACCUAAAUUUUAAUCUAAGUAAACCCAGUGGACUAGUAGGAAAGGAGAAAGUGGUUCACUCAAUAGAUAAACUAAGGGAAUUUUGCUAUCAUUUCACAUAAAUAUUUAAAAUUUUAGUUUUUCUUUUUUAAAACACAAUUCCUAUAUCUGUCCCUUGAUAUAUUGAGUACAUCUUUCUUUGGCAAUAUUUAAAUUUUAGUAUUUUAAAUGAUUUUUUUGUUUUACUAAUUAUUUGUAAAAUUUCCCAGUAUUCUAAUUGAAUUGUCUACUUCCAAGGUAUUUAUUAUCAGUAUUCUUGAAAUUUCUACUGACAAUAUUUAGAGGAGCAAUGAAGGGAAAGCUUAUUGUGAAAUGUCCUCUCUCGCAUGAACGUGUACCAAAAUACCAAAUACUGUACAAGGAUGUUUAAAAAAUAAAUUCAAUCUCUGCUUCCAUUUUUAUUUUCAUAGGGGUGGGGAUAAUUAACUUGAAAAUACUCCAUUGGUAAAUAUUGUUUUGUUUUUGUUCUUCUCUUCCUUUUUGCUUAGUAUGUGCUUGGCUCAUUGAGUUGAGAUCUUUUGUAUAUAUUGAAUUUUUCAUAUUAUGCUGCUUUCAUGAAAUAAGAGUCGGUCAUUCUUUUAUUUAUUUAUUUUUUCUUUAGAAAGAAAAAUAUGUACCUAUAUUUGUUGGAUUGUAGGUCCAGGAUCUGUAUGCUGACUUGCGAGCGUGAUAUAUUAUAUGUAUUUAUCUGAUUUGGAUAAGCUUGCAUGAAAUUGGUGUUAGAACUCUGGAAUUGCAUUGUGAAAAAUAAUAUUUACAUAGCUUUUCAGCAAACUGUAUAUCACGCAAAAUGAAAAUAGAAACCGUUGAUCAUUGCGAGCAUUGUUAAAAACAAGCAUGAUUUUUUUUAUAAAAAAAAUGCAAUCUACAUCGGUUAUCUAAAGAAUAGAUGUAAAUUUAUGUAUAAAUAUAUAUUGGUUUUCCUGAUAACCGAUGUAAAUUUAUGCAUAAAUCUACAUCGAUUCUCAAGAUAACCGAUGUAGAAGGACAUAAAAUUUCUAAGUCACUCUAUUCUACAUCGUUUUUAGAAAUGAUGUAAAUGUCUUCGCAGAACCGAUGUAGAAUAUGCAUCCUAUAGUAGUGUUAGCUAAUGUAUCAUGUGGUAUGAAAUUUUCUGAUACAAAUUAUGAUAUUAGUUUGGAUUAAUUGGAACAAUGUCUAUUGUGAUGUUGUUGGACUAAUUUCUUGGUAUUAAGUUGGUCUUGUGGCAUUAAUUUUUGAGCAAAGGGUUCUUGUGCAUAAUUCAAUACAUAAGAAACCUGGACAUAUGAAUAUAUCUUGUUGUUUUUGAUGAUGUCCAAAGGGGGAGAAAGGUUUUUGAGUUUGUUUUGCAGGACUUAAAAUGUGAAAAUACUAGUUUGCAAAACAAAAUGGCUUGUAUGGUUUGUCAUCAUCAAAAAGGGGGAGAUUGUUGAGAUUCAUGGAGUGGUGAAUCAACUCAAACUUGGAGUAUGAAAGUUUUGAUGAUAACAAAAGGAGGAUUUUGAGAAUCAAAAGCUAACCAAGGACAUCAAAAAGUCAAAAACAAAGUCAAGAAGAAAAUAUGGCUACUAUGAUGUGUAAUAGGGAUAGCUCAUAAGUUUUAUUAUUUUGUUUAGCUUA